CGGCAUCCCUGGCCGCAUCCUCAGAGCAUGCGCAGACCAGCUGGCUGUGAUAACGGACAUAUUCAAUCGUUCCCUAUCCCAGUCUCCUGUCCCCACAUGCUUCAAGAUGGCCACCAUUGUUCCUGUACCCAAGAAGGCAAAGAUAACUGAACUAAAUGACUAUCGCCCCGUAGCACUCACUUCGGUCAUCAUGAAGUGCUUUGGGAGACUAGUCAAGGAUCAUAUCACCUCCACCUUACCUGACACCCUAGACCCACUUCAGUUUGCAUACUGCCCCAACAGGUCCACAGAUGAUGCAAUCGCCAUCACACUGCACACUGCCCUAUCCCAUCUGGACAAGAGGAAUACCUAUUUGGCCAGGGGGCUAAGCUGGAGACGAUGACUGGAGAGAAGAACAAGGCUAAGGUGAACCUGGUUGGGAACAUGCUAAACAU
ensembl:lncRNA